GCUAGACCUUGAGGGUAGAGACAAAAGGAACCAAACCCUAGUUAGAUAGGCCACCCCAUGCAAUGCCAAGUAACAACUGGACUUGUGAAGUCUAAGCCAAACCUAAUUGCACUUGAAAGGUGUGUCGGAAUAUAUGGCUUGUGUGAAUAAGUCACCCAUCGGCAAUGUAUGAAAAAAUUAAAGGGCAUAUAAGCAUUGGCAAACAAAAAAAAAAUGGUUUAAGCCAUCUUGGUGACAGGGAGCUCAGUUUCAAGCCCA
rnacentral:misc_RNA from 1 species